UUGCUGGGUGGAUUAGUGGCGAACGGAAUGAGUAACACGUGAGUAACCUGCCCUUAACUCUGGGAUAAGCCUGGGAAACUGGGUCUAAUACCGGAUAGGAGCGCCUACCGCAUGGUGGGUGUUGGAAAGAUUUAUCGGUUUUGGAUGGACUCGCGGCCUAUCAGCUUGUUGGUGAGGUAAUGGCUCACCAAGGCGACGACGGGUAGCCGGCCUGAGAGGGUGACCGGCCACACUGGGACUGAGACACGGCCCAGACUCCUACGGGAGGCAGCAGUGGGGAAUAUUGCACAAUGGGCGCAAGCCUGAUGCAGCGACGCCGCGUGAGGGAUGACGGCCUUCGGGUUGUAAACCUCUUUCAGUAGGGAAGAAGCGAAAGUGACGGUACCUGCAGAAGAAGCACCGGCUAACUACGUGCCAGCAGCCGCGGUAAUACGUAGGGUGCGAGCGUUAUCCGGAAUUAUUGGGCGUAAAGAGCUCGUAGGCGGUUUGUCGCGUCUGUCGUGAAAGUCCGGGGCUUAACCCCGGAUCUGCGGUGGGUACGGGCAGACUAGAGUGCAGUAGGGGAGACUGGAAUUCCUGGUGUAGCGGUGGAAUGCGCAGAUAUCAGGAGGAACACCGAUGGCGAAGGCAGGUCUCUGGGCUGUAACUGACGCUGAGGAGCGAAAGCAUGGGGAGCGAACAGGAUUAGAUACCCUGGUAGUCCAUGCCGUAAACGUUGGGCACUAGGUGUGGGGACCAUUCCACGGUUUCCGCGCCGCAGCUAACGCAUUAAGUGCCCCGCCUGGGGAGUACGGCCGCAAGGCUAAAACUCAAAGGAAUUGACGGGGGCCCGCACAAGCGGCGGAGCAUGCGGAUUAAUUCGAUGCAACGCGAAGAACCUUACCAAGGCUUGACAUGUUCUCGAUCGCCGUAGAGAUACGGUUUCCCCUUUGGGGCGGGUUCACAGGUGGUGCAUGGUUGUCGUCAGCUCGUGUCGUGAGAUGUUGGGUUAAGUCCCGCAACGAGCGCAACCCUCGUUCCAUGUUGCCAGCACGUAAUGGUGGGGAACUCAUGGGAAGACUGCCGGGGUCA
rnacentral:rRNA from 1 species